UCAGUUAAUGUACAUAUUAGCUAGUAAUAUGUCUAAACCUUAAGGUUGGUUUAUUUGGUAACAAUAUUAUGAACUUUAAAUGCUGGGGGUUGGUGGGGGUCACCUGGCUGGAGCUGCAGCUCGAGCGUCAUGGACAGAGAAAGCGUUGGAGAUAACAGGGUGCUGACCCUCUGAUGACCUGGCAUGGUGUGAAACACGUCACAUAGGAGUGGCUGCAAAGCCAUGUGUGAGUCUCUCCAGGCAAUCAUCUGUCCGUCUCUCACACACACACUCACACUCAGAGCGCACCUUGAGGGCAGCCCUGCCUCUGUGUACCAGCAUGGAUUAAGCCCUCAUGCGUGUUUUCAUCCGGAGGCCACUCUGCUGUCCUGGAAGUUGACUGGUGACCACAGGUGGAAAACCAGCGGUAUGUUGUCACCGCCUCCAGGCUCGAGCUCAAGGAGAAAAUGGAAAUAGCCAACAUCGAACCGGCGCAGUCAAUACCACUCUCCAGAAAAGAGCUGAGAGGGACGCUCUCCGCCGCAGAGCAAGACUGAUGGAGGGAGGAGUGGGCGAUAGCCAGAGUAUGUCAGGUUUCAUCUGCCCUGUGUGACACACAGCACUCUGACAGCUCUGCUACACACGAUCUAGUCUCAAAACUAUCUCUCUCAUGCACACACUCUUCUGUCUUCCCCUCUCUUUCC